rnacentral:rRNA from 1 species
AUUGAACGCUGGCGGCAUGCUUUACACAUGCAAGUCGAACGGCAGCACGGACUUCGGUCUGGUGGCGAGUGGCGAACGGGUGAGUAAUACAUCGGAACGUACCCAGUAAUGGGGGAUAACUAUCCGAAAGGAUAGCUAAUACCGCAUACGCCCCACGGGGGAAAGAGGGGGAUCGCAAGACCUCUUGUUAUUGGAGCGGCCGAUGGCUGAUUAGCUAGUUGGUAGGGUAAAGGCCUACCAAGGCAACGAUCAGUAGCGGGUCUUAGAGGACGACCCGCCACACUGGAACUGAGACACGGUCCAGACUCCUACGGGAGGCAGCAGUGGGGAAUCUUGGACAAUGGGCGCAAGCCUGAUCCAGCAAUGCCGCGUGCGUGAAGAAGGCCUUCGGGUUGUAAAGCGCUUUUGUCAGGGAGCAAAUCCUUGUGGCUAAUACCCACCGGGGAUGAGAGUACCUGAAGAAUAAGGACCGGCUAACUACGUGCCAGCCGCCGCAGUAACAC